rnacentral:tRNA from 1 species
AAAGGGUUGGCCGAGCCUAGGUGAUAGAUUGUAAAUCUAUUUACGAGAAGUUAAAAAUCUCACCCUUUA